ensembl:lncRNA
CUGUUGGGUUCAGAGUUUUGUAGUCUCCCAAGCCCUUUACAGUAGUGGUCCCCAACCUCUUUGGUGCCAGGGGCUGGUUUCAUGGAAGACUCUUUCCACAGACCUGCCACAGUGAGGUUUGUGCUUCUCUGACAAUCUGCUGGGGCUGUGAUCUGACAGGAGGCAGAGCUCAGGUGGCACUGUAAAAGCCGAUGAAGCUUCCUGGUCUGUGGCCCAGGGCUGGGGACCCCUGCAGUAAGAAAAAGAAAGAAGAGUUGCUUGUCUCCAGACGGUGGUGUUGAGGCCAGCAGUAGUGCCUUGAGCUCCUUCUGGGUUCCUGCCAGCCUCCCCCAACAAGUGACCAAGGGCAGGUUUGGACAUGGACCCUCAAUGGAAGACUUCUUGCCCUCGAGGCAUCGUAAAGGCCGAGCUCUUGGCCGGUUUGUGAUUUUGUUGUUUGCGACAAGAUCUCACUAGGCCUAGGCUGGCCUUGAGCUUGGGGUGCUUGGCGUCCUGUCUCAGCCUUCUGGAGUCCCGAGGUUACAGGUGUAUGCCACUCUGCCCAGCCUUCCUAACCUGUUUCUUCACGUGCACCUGUUCCAAGCGCAGGAUCCCAUCCUCUUCCAGAAACAGACCUCCAAAGGAGCCGUCUGCGCCCUGCCUCUGUCCAGGGCUGUAGAGGCUCCUGCAGAGCCAGAGGGGCGCGGCAAGGGAUGCCCCUAGGUCCUUCCUUCACUCCAGUCUCUCUCAAGUCUCACGGAGCUCGCCCAGGUCCUGAUGGGCACUGAAUCCAACUGAAGAGAUUAAAUGUGCUGGGCUCACCCCGGAGUGUCCUCCAUUCUUUAGAAAAGGAGUUAAACUUGGGGACGGUGGCUUCUCCUUCCCGCCCAGAUCCCCAGAUCCUUCAGUAAAUCCCCACCUCUGCUGGAGAACAAGCAUCUGGGACAGGGCAGAUCGGGGAAGAGAGCGGUGGAGAGAGCGGGAGAAGGAUGGCGGGGCUAGCGGCUGCGAGCCAGACUCUCCUUCUCGUCGGAAGCUGAGCGGGCGGGUGCGGACUGGGAACCCGCUGGAAGCCGGCGCCCGCACACCCCAGGCUCGGCUCAGCCGGACGGCACUGACCAUGGGGAAAGGGGCGACCGAGAC